GACGUAGGGCGCGAGCGUUGUCCGGAUUUAUUGGGCGUAAAGAGCUCGUAGGCGGCUUGUCGCGUCGUCGUGAAACUCACGAGCUCAACUGUGGAGCUUGCGGUCGAUGACGGGCAGGCUAGAGUUCGGUAGGGGAGACUGGAAUUCCUGGUGUAGCGGUGAAAUGCGCAGAUAUCAGGAGGAACACCGGUGGCGAAGGCGGAUCUCUGGGCCAUUACUGACGCUGAGGAGCGAAAGCGUGGGGAGCGAACAGG
rnacentral:rRNA from 1 species